AUUGAACGCUGGCGGCAGGCCUAACACAUGCAAGUCGAACGGUAACAGGAAGAAGCUUGCUUCUUUGCUGACGAGUGGCGGACGGGUGAGUAAUGUCUGGGAAACUGCCUGAUGGAGGGGGAUAACUACUGGAAACGGUAGCUAAUACCGCAUAACGUCGCAAGACCAAAGAGGGGGACCUUCGGGCCUCUUGCCAUCGGAUGUGCCCAGAUGGGAUUAGCUAGUAGGUGGGGUAACGGCUCACCUAGGCGACGAUCCCUAGCUGGUCUGAGAGGAUGACCAGCGACACUGGAACUGAGACACGGUCCAGACUACUACGGGAGGCAGCAGUGGGGAAUAUUGCACAAUGGGCGCAAGCCUGAUGCAGCCAUGCCGCGUGUAUGAAGAAGGCCUUCGGGUUGUAAAGUACUUUCAGCGGGGAGGAAGGGAGUAAAGUUAAUACCUUUGCUCAUUGACGUUACCCGCAGAAGAAGCACCGGCUAACUCCGUG
rnacentral:rRNA from 1 species